UCCUGGAUCAUCUCGGCAGGACGUAGCGGCUCAGGACUCAGCCCCUCGGCUCUACCACGCAUGCUACUUGCUCCUGUCGUCAUGAGGAGGAAAAAAAUGAUUGAACUGUUCUUUAGUGCGCCCCCGUGUGGUAGAAUGAACAAGAUGUUUUAUUCUCCUCUUCACCUUCAUGCUCAUGCCUCAUCCACUAGAAGGAAGCAGAGUAAUUUGCCAUAUGCCGAGUUUAAGUGCUGUCGGAAAUCCUACGGUCACUUUGAAAUGAACAACAAAGUGGACGGUGUAAGUGAUAUGUUACGUGAUUGUCAGUUAAGCAGACACAUUGUAUAUUUAUAUGUAGUUGGUCAUGCGUGUUUGAGCAUACAAGGAGCUUUCUUAAAGUUAAAAAAUACAACAUCUGUUGGCAUAUGCAGACAAGUACAGUUUAUUGUAACAAAGAUGUAGCAAAAACAAGCAAAACUUCAAUCAUCAGUGCUCCCCAAUA